CGUGUAGGCGGAGCUGCAAGUCAGAUGUGAAAUCCCGGGGCUCAACCCCGGAACUGCAUUUGAAACUGUAGCCCUUGAGUAUCGGAGAGGCAAGCGGAAUUCCUAGUGUAGCGGUGAAAUGCGUAGAUAUUAGGAGGAACACCAGUGGCGAAGGCGGCUUGCUGGACGACAACUGACGCUGAGGCGCGAAAGCGUGGGGAGCAAACA
rnacentral:rRNA from 1 species